rnacentral:rRNA from 1 species
AACGAACGCUGGCGGCAUGCCUAACACAUGCAAGUCGAACGAACCCUUCGGGGUUAGUGGCGCACGGGUGCGUAACACGUGGGAAUCUGCCCUUUGCUUCGGAAUAACAGUUAGAAAUGACUGCUAAUACCGGAUGAUGUCGCAAGACCAAAGAUUUAUCGGCAAAGGAUGAGCCCGCGUAGGAUUAGCUAGUUGGUGGGGUAAAGGCCUACCAAGGCGACGAUCCUUAGCUGGUCUGAGAGGAUGAUCAGCCACACUGGGACUGAGACACGGCCCAGACUCCUACGGGAGGCAGCAGUGGGGAAUAUUGGACAAUGGGCUAAAGCCUGAUCCAGCAAUGCCGCGUGAGUGAUGAAGGCCUUCGGGUUGUAAAGCUCUUUUACCAGGGAUGAUAAUGACAGUACCUGGAGAAUAAGCUCCGGCUAACUCCGUGCCAGCCGCCGCCGUAAAAC